AUGGCCGCCUCCUGCACCCUCGGCCCGCCAUUGGGGUCCACCUCCACGCCGAUCACCCACGGCACCAGCUUCUUGAUGUAUCUGGUGGCGUUCCCGGCGUGCAGCAGCGCUCUGGAGCGGAAGCAGAAGGACGCGUCGGUGCCGUCCGGCGCCGACCGUAUCGCGAGCUGGCUCUUGAGCCGCAGGAAGUCGUCCGGGUCCAUCAGCAGGUGCAGGUCCUCGAUGUCGGCAAGCAGCUUCCAGAUCCGCUCCAGGAUCCAGCAGUCGUUCGCCGCCGCCUCCCAGUCCUUCGCUUCGAUCCGGCUGUUCAGGCGGGUGAGAAGCUGAGACGCCGCGCACAGCCAGGAUUCAAGAAUCUGGUGGAUGGUGAAGAGCGCCUCGUUCUCGCGGUUGCGGUAG
rnacentral:rRNA from 1 species